rnacentral:rRNA from 1 species
UACGGGGGGGGCAAGCGUUGUUCGGAAUUACUGGGCGUAAAGGGCUCGUAGGCGGCCAACUAAGUCGGAUGUGAAAUCCCCAGGCUUAACCUGGGAAUUGCAUCCGAUACUGGAUGGCUUGAAUCCGGGAGAGGGAUGCGGAAUUCCAGGUGUAGCGGUGAAAUGCGCAGAUAUCAGGAGGAACACCAAUGGCGAAGGCAGCUCGCUGGGACGGCACUGACGCUGAGGCGCGAAAGCGUGGGGAGCAAACAGG